UCCAUUUCUUUCAUUUUUUCAUCAAAUGUAUGUAUUUAAGAUAAGUGAAUAUUGAAUUUAGCAUUGGAAUACACAGGUUUUUUACAUUCACUAUUAGGAUAAAUUAUUCUAGUUUCAUUCUGUUCUUCAUUGGUUUGAUGAAACUUUUAGAUGUGUGUAUCUAAUGUAUUUAUAGUUUUAAAGUAUUUGUUUCAAAUAUUCCACUGAAAAUCAGUGAACACUGAUUCGAUGUUAUGAAUAAUUCAUAAAUGUGUUUAGAUUUUCUUUUUUGUAUAAACUUUUUGUCGCAUAUUG